AUGUGAUUUCUGGUCAAGCAGUUCGCGUUCAGUCCGCACAGACCUACGCAGGGAUCGAUGCACCUGUUGUUCGUGCACACUCGGUUGUACGGGCAGUCGUCGUUGACUGAAACGUGACCAGAAUGCCAUAAGAAUUAUGUAAUGCUCGCGGAUCGUUCUACUCACUUAGACACUCGACCCGUGUACACCGCGCGAGCGGGUCUCCCAUAUGUAGAUUCAGGCAGGAGCACACCGGUCGUCCCUCGCUCAUCGUACAUCUCGCAUUCACGCCGCACGUGUAGCUUUCGCAACCGCCUGUGGAAAAGACGAGGGUCGUCGGGUGAUUCAGCGGGCAAUUUUGCGUAAUAACAAAAAGACAAGAAGAACUUACCAGACGCGACUACUCGCGACUGAACGUAUUGGACGUAGUGGCUGCCGUUCACCACCGUGGCGAACAGAGCCAAGAGCAAGGCUGCGGCUCGCGGAUAUUGCAUUUUGCCACUAUAUUUCGGCCCGUAUCUGCCGAGAAAACGAUGAAAUUCUGAAGAUGCAGAUAGGAAGAGAGCUCUACAGUCGCGACGGUUCUUCUCGGACGAUGAUAAUCGAGCUCUGUGCAAAUUCUUCAAGUUGAAACGAUACUCUUUUGUAAAUUUUUAAAUAAAACACCUUUUUGCUUUUUUGCA